AGACGAGCCUUUGAGAGCUCAGCUAGCGAGUAGCGGGUUUGGAUGUGUCUGCUGGGUGUUUGCACAGGAGCUUUCCUUGUCUCUAGCUUUGUGCCCUUACUUCCCCUCUUUGGGCUAACCAGGUUUCUGUUCUUUUUGCAGCACAGUCUAUGUUGUGGGGAAGAAGGAUACAGGGAAUUGCUGUGCCAUGGUGAUGGAAGAUGAAGGAACAGAAUGCUUAAAGGAGCUGUGGUAGAGAAGAAGAGAUGUAGAUCCGGCACCAUGUAGAAGGAGGUGGAGGAAGCGGGCGGCUGUGCACCUGUGGUCAUUUUUGGGUCACCAGGAGUGAGGCCUCAGUCUGUUGGCUGGAGCUGCUUGCAUGGGCAGAGCCUCUGGCGGGAGGUUCCUGCACCCUGUGAGAGGAGAGGAAGUGAAGCGGGGACAAGUGAGGACUGAAGAAGGAGUAGCAUAACACCUGGCGUGGGUUCUGGCCUGCGUGGAGGGAAAUGUACAGUGGCUCAGCGAGUGGAGCGGAGCUGUGCCCACAGAGGGUGAAGCUGGAGGAACAGGAUGCUGCACGGUGCGUUGGUGUUGGAUGGGCAGAUCCUGAAGUUGGAUGUCUGCCUUCUGUAUGGGGAAGGCCUGGCAAGCAAGGCUGCACAGGGGCUGAAGGAGCAGAUAAUCAAGAGCUAAGCGAUUUUGC